CCAAGGACCGAUGCCAGGAGGUGGCGGGGCCAGGACGGACCCCAACCAGUCCGCCUCCCCAGGCUCCUCCCGCCUCUCCGGCCCCUCUGGAAAGUCCGCUGGGGCCCCCAGGCGGGGACGGGCUCCCGCCCCGGAGCUCCCUCAACAGCAGUGACGCGAGGACAUAACGACCGACCGAGAGCACCAGCCGCUGCGACCGCAACGACCGUUUCCCGAGCCCCCGUCCCCUGAACUGACCGCGUGGAAGGGACUGGCGCCUGGGCCCCAGACCGAGGCUCACCACGCGCCACCACCCACCAUGCUCCCGCCAGCGCCGUGCGGACAGCCGCUUGGAGGGUCCACAGACAGCAUGUCGAAGACCCGGCCCCCCAUUUACCUGCUCUGUGUCCUAGGCUAGCGCUCCUCUACUGGGGGGUCCGGCGGGACCCACCGCCCUGGGCGUGAGGGCGAGGAUGAAGGGACGACCACCAUGAGCACCUCCGGGGCGGGGUCCCCGGCCCCAGGCCCCCGUGGCAGGGCACCUGCCCGGGGAGCGAGUGAGGCAGGAAGCGGCCGUACCAGCCUCCAGCUCUGGCGAGAGCUGCUCAAAAUCCGGCACGUCCUUGACCAGCACGUUGGGCACCGCCCAGUUGAGACACAGGCCCGUCUGCUGGCCUCCGUCACGGCCAGUGUCCCGGGUCCCAUCAGCUGGGACCGGGGGCUCCUUAGACACCAACAUCCACAGCACCGGCUCCUUGGCCUGCUCUGCUCCUGUUUCCUGUGCACUUUGUUAUGGUGAAUCAGAGCCUAGAUCUGAAGACCCGGGCCGGGGUUCACAUCCACCUGCAAGACCGUGACCUAACAGCUCCAUGCCUCGGUUUCCCUCUCCGCGAAGGGGGAAAAUUAAGACUCGCUUUAUACGGCUGUUCUGAGAAUCAGACGAGAUGAAUACACAAAGCGCAGGCCCAGCAUCCCGUUGAGGCCAAGCACAGAGUGGCUGCCGAGGAGGAGAAUGGGCGAGCCAACGUCCCUGAACUCUCAAGCACCCAAGAGGCAGGCCCGGCCCGGUGCUCACGUGGCACGUGACCCCGGCUACUGUGGGGGCGGCCACCUACCGCGUCUCUCCAGGAACCUCAGGGCGUCCAGACUCCCCGGCUGGCUGGCUGCUCUGGCUCCAGGCCCUCCCGUCUCCGGCCUCAGUUCCCUCCUCCGGAAACUGGGAUGACAAGGCCUGGCACAGGAUACCUGGGACACCGCCUGUUCCCCAUAAGUCAAGGACGGUGGUUCCCUUCGUCCUUUCGACGUUUAUUCCCAGGACCAGCCUGAGGUGGCAGAGGAACCCAGGGGCCCCCGCGGGGCCGUCUCAAUCAGAGCCCCACUCAUGGAGAAAAGGCACCUGCAGGCCCAGCCAGGAGCUUUGCCUUCACUGCUGUGUGACCUCAGGACGGCCACACCACCUUUCUGAGAGCCUUCGUUUGUCUGUAGAAUGGGGCUAAGACUCUGUCCACUCCAGGGGUGCAGGCAGGAGCAGAGUAAAUGAACACAGCCUCGUUUCAUAAAGUGUAAAACCCUACUCAACAAGAGGUGUGAAGGAGGGAGGGCUGGGGCGUGGUUGGGGUGGAGGAGUGCGUUAUCAUGAUAAACCGUGGUCAGAUUACCCAUUUUCCAGAAAUAACAAGGGGCCAAAGGCAGGAAAUGUGGGUCUAUUGUCCAUCAUCUCUGAGCUUGGGCCUCACCUCCACGUGAUGGCCAGUCAUCUGGCCAGGGUUUAGGGCAGCGGUUGAAAGCGUGGGUCUGGGCUAGCUGAGGAUUCGAAACGUGGCUUUGCCGCUUCCAGGCUGUGUGACUUUGAACAAGUCGCUUAACCUUUCUGAGCCUUAGCAUCCCCAUCCCGGGAAACAGAGAUGACAACAGGACCUUCUGCAGAGCCUGACCCAGAGGAGUGCCAGCAGAGGCCUGGCUCAAACCCAAGCUCAGUGGGAUUGGCGUUAACGUGCUCCCCUGGCCACAAACCCUUGACCACUUGGGGCCAGUCCUAACUCAACACUUGCUCAAGGAGGGGAAGACUAGCAAGGGCAUGACCUGAGCCCCAGCUGUGGGUUCGAGGGCUUGGUGGACACAUGUGUCCCAACCACCCUCAGACUGUGGGAAGGGAUCAGGGCCACACAGUGUGACUCACGGGGCCCUUGACCAUGGCCCCGGCUUCGAGGCCAGGCGCUGGGCCAGUCCUACCUCAAGAUCGG